GCACAGGAAGAGGAAAAGCAGGCCAUCUGUGCACGUAGGAAAACAGCACCGGGACAAAAAUAGUUAAGCUGGUGAGGGAAGCAAUACGAGUCUAAGAAACUGCGGAUCCGCUGAGCGAGGCUGCCUGUCUUUCCCCUUGUUUGAACGGACCUUUCGGUUUCUCAGGUAAGUCAAGAACACGCCUUCUGAACUGGGCUCUCAGGAAGCCACUGUUGAACUAACUAAGGCCAUCCACUUCCGUUCGAAGGGAAUAAGAAUUUUAGUCAAUAAUGAGGAGGAGCUCCGCUGGGUUGUUCUCUGUCGUGGUCUCCAGCAGUGACCCAGAUGAAAUAACCACUGCAACACUGACUACUCGAUCUGCCGGCUUGAAAGACU
rnacentral:lncRNA from 1 species